rnacentral:rRNA from 1 species
UACGUAGGGGGCAAGCGUUGUCCGGAAUCAUUGGGCGUAAAGAGCGUGUAGGCGGCCCGAUAAGUCCGCCGUGAAAGUCCAGGGCUCAACCCUGGGAUGCCGGUGGAAACUGUCGGGCUAGAGUCCGGAAGAGGCGAGUGGAAUUCCUGGUGUAGCGGUGAAAUGCGCAGAUAUCAGGAGGAACACCAAUGGCGAAGGCAGCUCGCUGGGACGGUACUGACGCUGAGACGCGAAAGCGUGAGGAGCAAACAGG